rnacentral:rRNA from 1 species
UACGGGGGGGGCAAGCGUUGUUCGGAAUUACUGGGCGUAAAGGGCUCGUAGGCGGCCAACUAAGUCCGACGUGAAAUCCCCAGGCUUAACCUGGGAACUGCGUCGGAUACUGGAUGGCUUGAAUUCGGGAGAGGGAUGCAGAAUUCCAGGUGUAGCGGUGAAAUGCGUAGAUAUCUGGAGGAAUACCGGUGGCGAAGGCGGCAUCCUGGACCGACAUUGACGCUGAGGCUCGAAAGCAUGGGGAGCAAACAGG